rnacentral:rRNA from 1 species
AAGAGACAGCAGCAGCCGCGGUAAUACGUAUGUCGCAAGCGUUAUCCGGAAUUAUUGGGCAUAAAGGGCAUCUAGGCGGCCAGACAAAUCUGGGGUGAAAACUUGCGGCUCAACCGCAAGCCUGCCCUGGAAACUGUUUGGCUAGAGUGCUGGAGAGGUGGACGGAACUGCACGAGUAGAGGUGAAAUUCGUAGAUAUGUGCAGGAAUGCCGAUGAUGAAGAUAGUUCACUGGACGGUAACUGACGCUGAAGUGCGAAAGCUGGGGGAGCGAACAGGAUUAGAUACCCGCGUAGUCCCUGUCUCUUAUAC